rnacentral:lncRNA from 1 species
UCUAAUGGGGCUGAUCUGGGUCCCAACUCUGAAUCCUGUGCUUGAGGGUCUCCUUUCCUGUUCUUGCCCCAGGGUUAGGCACCCCAAAGAUUCCACCAAUUCCUGUACGGGCAACAUAUACUUUAAAAAAUUUACGGCUGGGUGCAGUGGCUCACACCUGUAAUCCCAGCACUUUGAGAGGCCAAGGCCGGAGGAUUGAUUGAGUCCCAGAAUUUGAGGCCAGCCUGGGCAACGUGACGAAACCCCAUCUCUACGAAAAUUACAAAAAUUAGCUGGCAUGGUGGUGCAUGCCUGUAGUCACAGCUACUUGGGAGACUGAGGUUGGAGGAUCGCUUGAGCCUGGGAGGUCAUGGCUGCAGAGAGCCAUGAUCAUGCCACUGCAUUCCAGCCUGGGCAACAGAGCAAGACCCUGUCUCAGAGAAGAAACAAAAAUUACUAUUACCCCACCUACUUCUGAAAAAAGGAUAUGAGUCUAUGGCUUACCAAUACAAAACUUAAAGAGGAAGAAACCAAAAUCUGAGUAUAAGGAUAAAAGAGCCAAGCAGAAGGAUAGUGAACUCAGGGACAUCAGGGUAGGGAAAGCUGCAGCAGUGAUGGAGCACAAGGCUUUGCUAUGAGCUUCCUGGAAGCCAAUGUAAAGAAGAAACUGAGCUCAUUUGCUUGCUAAAAAACACCAGAUCAUCAGGGAGACAUCCUUUCCCCGGUCUUGAGCUAGAAGAGGAUAUUUGCUGGAUGGGUCUUUCUAAAAGGGUCAAAGUACUGGCUGGUGGGAGGGGUCACCAGCAGCAGGUUUGCCCAACACACGGAAACGCUCCUCCCUGCAUUGCUGCCUCCCCAUCGAGCCUCCUUGGCAGAUAGGGAUCUCAGGCAGAGUCGCUUUGUAAAGGCUAUUCCAGGGGGCUCGGGCCAGGGCUGUGUGACAUGAGAGUAGCUCAGAGGGACUUGCUGUGGGGGUGGCCCUGACAUACAGGGAUGAGAGAGGAGUGCCACCCCGAGCUUACCCUUCUGGGACAUGACCCCCUGGACUGGCUGCUGAAUUUGUGCAACAGCAGAGGAGUCACAGUUGAUUUUCUGGCCCUGCCAGCACCUGCGGGGCAGGUGUUUUCUGUGACAGUUGGAAAUAGGCCCAUGUUCUUCACUCUUUCAUCCAGCAAGUGCUUUCCAGCUUAUGCCAGGCCCUGGGCUGAGUACUGUGGGCACAUUGGGCACCAUGGCAGACACAAUGCCUGUGGUGAUAACUGCCACCCAGAAAAUAGCCAGGUGCUGCAGGAGCCCAGAGGGAGACAUGGGGAUGACCAGGAAGCCUGGGGGUGGCAGGGAAAGCUUUCUGCAGGUAAUGUGGGAGCUGAGAUUUGAAAAAUGGAGAGAAGUUAGCCCAGUGGAAAAGGAGAGCAAGAACAGCAGGUGGUGGGAACAGCAUGCGCCCAGGCCUAGAGCCAGGACACUGUGUGCUAAGUUUGGGGAAGAUGAUGGAAGGAGAUGCUGUUGGAUGAGGUGGAAGGGGAGGGGGACCGGGCCAGCACAGGUGGUGCACACCUCACCACAGAGCGUGGCUUCUACCGUGAAAGGGGAGGGAGGGCCAGGCAGGGACAGGAGGGACCAGGGUGACGUGGAAUGGGGAGAAGGCAGAGUCCACCUAGCUUUUGCCCACAUAGAUGGCCUCCCGGCCUAUGGGUUGAGGGCAGCCGACUCCUGCCUCCCAACCUGUUCACAUGGCUACUACCUGGAGCUGUCCUUCUGGAGACACCUGAGGACGACCAGAAACCAUAACGAGGACGCCUUUUCACAUCCUUCGCAUGGCAGGAUCCUUCUCCCCACUGCAUAGAUGUGGAAACUGACCUCAAGAUGACUGUUUUAAAGCUAUGUGGGCUGGGGGCAGUGGCUCACACCUAUAAUCCCAGCACUUUGGGAGGCUGAGGUGGGCAGAUCGCUUGAGCCCAGGAGUUCGAGACCAGCCUGAACAACAUGGCAAAACCCUGUCUCUGCAAAAAAUAAAAAAUUAGCCGGGUGUGAUUGCCCAUGCCUGU